rnacentral:rRNA from 1 species
CCUACGGGAGGCAGCAGUGGGGAAUAUUGCACAAUGGGCGCAAGCCUGAUGCAGCCAUGCCGCGUGUGUGAAGAAGGCCUUCGGGUUGUAAAGCACUUUCAGCGGGGAGGAAGGCGGUGAGGUUAAUAACCUCAUCGAUUGACGUUACCCGCAGAAGAAGCACCGGCUAACUCCGUGCCAGCAGCCGCGGUAAUACGGAGGGUGCAAGCGUUAAUCGGAAUUACUGGGCGUAAAGCGCACGCAGGCGGUCUGCCAAGUCGGAUGUGAAAUCCCCGGGCUCAACCUGGGAACUGCAUUCGAAACUGGCAGGCUAGAGGCUGGGAGAGGGGGGGAGAAUUCCAGGGGUAGCGGUGAAAUGCGUAGAGAUCUGGAGGAAUACCGGUGGCGAAGGCGGCCCCCUGGACAAAGACUGACGCUCAGGUGCGAAAGCGUGGGGAGCAAACAGGAUAGAUACCCCAGUAGUC